GAUAUUUUCCUUAAUUAUAAUUAGUAUGGCAUUUUCAUUGAAAAAAAUGUUCGGAAAAGGUACAUCUAAAUCCGGUGAAAGUAGUCGUCAAAAUCCUACACUAACAUGGUUCAACCAGGAAUAAACACUGUCACCGGAGGUAUAUUGUACUACGAUCCUUAUAAGGAUCGUGAAGAAUUAGCUAAAAUGAUUACUGUUAUGUGUUUACCUUAUUCUUUUGCUN
rnacentral:lncRNA from 1 species